CGGCGAGUGAAGCGGCAAGAGCUCAAAUUUGAAAGCUGGCUCCUUCGGGGUCCGCAUUGUAAUUUGCAGAGGAUGCUUCGGGAGCGGUCCCCAUCUAAGUGCCCUGGAACGGGACGUCAUAGAGGGUGAGAAUCCCGUAUGGGAUGGGGUGUCCGCGCCCGUGUGAAGCUCCUUCGACGAGUCGAGUUGUUUGGGAAUGCAGCUCUAAAUGGGUGGUAAAUUUCAUCUAAAGCUAAAUAUUGGCCGGAGACCGAUAGCGCACAAGUAGAGUGAUCGAAAGAUGAAAAGCACUUUGAAAAGAGAGUUAAAAAGCACGUGAAAUUGUUGAAAGGGAAGCGCUUGCGGCCAGACUCGCUCGCGGGGUUCAGCCGGCAUUCGUGCCGGUGUAUUUCCCCGCGGGCGGGCCAGCGUCGGUUUGGGCGGUCGGUCAAAGGCCCUCGGAAGGUAACGCCCCUAGGGGCGUCUUAUAGCCGAGGGUGCAAUGCGACCUGCCUAGACCGAGGAACGCGCU
rnacentral:rRNA from 1 species